UUCCAGUUGAUCUGCGUCCUUACUAUCCUGAUAAUUACCAAUGUAAAGGCCGGGAAGCACCUGCACACAUAUUGCAAAGAUAAAUUACUAAACGUACGGAAAGACAAAGCAUGUUAAUUUUCAUCUUUAUAAUACACUUUUACGGAGAACUAUAGAUGUGCCAGCUAAUUGAAAGAAAUUUAAUGAUACCUGCUUAUUGUAUAAAUAAAACGUAUUUAUAUCCAAUCUUCAUUUUUCUCUUAAUAGAUCGAACAAAACGUUUCGUUUUGUAUCUCAUUGCAUUAGCAAAUUUAUCGUCUCUUGACAAUUCAAUCCUUCUUAGAAGUUGGAACGAUUUUUUGCAAUUAAAUGAUGUGAAAAUAAGAGAGGAUGUCUUUGAUUAUGAACGACGUUUCAAUUAUUAUAACAGAAAGAUAGAAAUUCUAAUCAGGCCGAUAUGCGUGUUGCAAAAGUUAAAGAUCGAACGAGCGUUGCGUUCGACUGGAAGUUUGCCAAAAAUAUUCGUCAGUUAGUACAAUACUACGUAGUAUGUAAUAGGAGUGUUUUGAGAACUCGUGGCUUUCGUUUUGCGCACGAUACGUCAACAUAUUUUCGCGAACUGUGUCAAAGAAUUUUCAGGGUUAAAGCAAAAGGACGUCAGUGAAAUUCAUCGGCACGAAGGAGCUCGAACGAUGCAUUUAUUAAAGCAUCGUCGAGAGAGUGGGAAUAAUUAAUUGGCCAUUGGUUGUUCGGUAGCUUCUAAUUUCUUAUUUCGAGAAGCGUUUUUCCUUAUAAAAAUCAUGCUUCGGUCACUUGACCGUAACCGCUUUUUUCAUUGAUUAGAUCGUCGACCCGUUUUCUUUAGCGUCCUCGUUUAUUGCACAAUGCAUCGCGUUGAACUUUUUCCGCCCAAGGAUAUCGUAUGCUUGCGACUCGUAAUUCCGCACAAAUUUCCAUCAUACUUCGCGACUGAUUGCUCUACUUGUUGAACCGUUGUCAGAUUAUUACGAUUAUUAUAAUCCGUCGCUUGUUUUUUCUAUAGCUAACUUCGAAAAGUGCUACCACGUGUUAUAUAUUUAACAAUGUAAUAAAUAAAUAAAUUUCUUCUUCUCUCUA